AGUGCAAGCGUUAUCCGGAUUUAUUAGGUAUAAAGGGUGCGUACGCGGACCUGUUACUCAGUGGUGAAAUACUACGGCUUAACCGUAGAACUGCCAUUGAUACUGCAGGUCUUGAGUACAGUACGAGGUAGGCCGAAUGUGUGGUGUAACGGUGAAAUGCUUAGAUAUCACACAGAACACCGAUUGCGAAGGCAGCUUACUAAGUUGUAACUGACGCUGAUGCACGAAAGCAUGGGGAGCAAACAGGAUUAGAUACCCUGGUAGUCCAUGCCGUAAACGAUGAUCACUCGCUGUACGUCCAUUAGGAUGUGUGGCUGAGCUAACGCAUUAAGUGAUCCACCUGGGGAGUACGGCGGCAACGCUGAAACUCAAAGGAAUUGACGGGGGCCCGCACAAGCGGAGGAACAUGUGGUUUAAUUCGAUGAUACGCGAGGAACCUUACCUGGGUUUAAAUGUAGGACGCAAGUCACGUGAAAGCGAGACCCUCUUCGGGACGGACUACAAGGUGCUGCAUGGUUGUCGUCAGCUCGUGCCGUGAGGUGUCGGGUUAAGUCCCAUAACGAGCGCAACCCUCAUCGUUAGUUACCAGCGGAUAAUGCCGGGGACUCUAACGAGACUGCCACCGUAAGGUGAGAGGAAGGUGGGGAUGACGUCAAAUCAGCACGGCCUUAUAUCCAGGGUUACACACCGUGUUACAAUGGCCAGUUCAAAGGGCAGCUACCUGGUGACAGGAUGUUAAUCUCAAAAACUGGGUUUAAUUCGGAUCUAAGAAGUUUGCAACUCGAAUAUGUGGGAAAAUUGGAUUCCUUAGUAAUCGCGCCAUCAGCUAUGCGCGCGGUGAAUACGUUCC
rnacentral:rRNA from 1 species